UGGGGAAUAUUGGACAAUGGGCGCAAGCCUGAUCCAGCCAUGCCGCGUGAGUGAUGAAGGCCCUAGGGUUGUAAAGCUCUUUCACCGGUGAAGAUAAUGACGGUAAUCGGAGAAGAAGCCCCGGCUAACUUCGUGCCAGCAGCCGCGGUAAUACGAAGGGGGCUAGCGUUGUUCGGAUUUACUGGGCGUAAAGCGCACGUAGGCGGACUUUUAAGUCAGGGGUGAAAUCCCGGGGCUCAACCCCGGAACUGCCUUUGAUACUGGAAGUCUUGAGUAUGGUAGAGGUGAGUGGAAUUCCGAGUGUAGAGGUGAAAUUCGUAGAUAUUCGGAGGAACACCAGUGGCGAAGGCGGCUCACUGGACCAUUACUGACGCUGAGGUGCGAAAGCGUGGGGAGCAAACAGG
rnacentral:rRNA from 1 species